GAUGAACGCUGGCGGCGUGCCUAAUACAUGCAAGUCGAGCGAACAGACGAGGAGCUUGCUCCUCUGACGUUAGCGGCGGACGGGUGAGUCACACGUGGAUCAUCCACCUAUAAGACUGGGAUAACCUCGAGACACCGGAGCUAAUACCGUAUAAUCUCUUGAACCGCAUGGUUCAAUAGUGAAAGUCGGUUUUGCUGUCUCUACUAGAUGGAUCCGCGCCGCAUUAGCUGGUUGGGAAGGUAACGGCUUACCAAGGCAACGAUGCGUAGACGACGUGAGAGAGGGGUCGGCCACACGGGAACGGAGACACGGACCAGAGUCCUGCGGGAGGCAGCAGUAGGGAAUCGGCCGCAAUGGGCGAGAGCCUGACGGAGCAACGCGGCGUGAGUGAUGAAGGUCUUCGGAUCGUAAAACUCUGUUAUGAGGGAAGAACAAAUGUGUAAGUAACUAUGCACGUCUUGACGGUACCGAGUCAGAAAGCCCCGGCUAACUACGUG
rnacentral:rRNA from 1 species